rnacentral:lncRNA from 1 species
CAAUAAAAUCAGCCUGGGCAAGGCUGCAAAUCUGAGCUGUGUUCAAGUAAAACUGAACGACUUGACUAGGUGUUAUUCUCUGACACCAUAUUCAAAGACUUUGGCUUGAAAGAUCUGUUCUGGGGUACAGCAGAGUCUGCUUAUCUGUACCAGAGAAAGAUGUCGCUGGAGCUGUUCUGGCAUCAUAUUCAUUCCUCAAGAAUCUACUAUUGGCUACUGGAAGAGACAGGAUUACCCUGACCUAAUGUGACAAAUCUUACAUACCUUACCCUAGGGACUGCAGAAGAACAACCCCUGGCAAAGGACACCUGCAUGAGUUCUUGGAAAAAAUAAAAAAUAAAACCAAGAGAAAAAGAGAGUCA